GUUGAAAUUUCAUUAACUCCCUAUUAGGGAUUGAAAC
rnacentral:other from 1 species